rnacentral:misc_RNA from 1 species
GUAACAAGGUUUCCGUAGGUGAACCUGCGGAAGGAUCAUUACUGAGUGCGGGCUGCCUCCGGGCGCCCAACCUCCCACCCGUGACUACCUAACACUGUUGCUUCGGCGGGGAGCCCUCUCGGGGGCGAGCCGCCGGGGACUACUGAACUUCAUGCCUGAGAGUGAUGCAGUCUGAGUCUGAAUAUAAAAUCAGUCAAAACUUUCAACAAUGGAUCUCUUGGUUCCGGCAUCGAUGAAGAACGCAGCGAACUGCGAUAAGUAAUGUGAAUUGCAGAAUUCAGUGAAUCAUCGAGUCUUUGAACGCACAUUGCGCCCCCUGGCAUUCCGGGGGGCAUGCCUGUCCGAGCGUCAUUGCUGCCCAUCAAGCCCGGCUUGUGUGUUGGGUCGUCGUCCCCCCCGGGGGACGGGCCCGAAAGGCAGCGGCGGCACCGUGUCCGGUCCUCGAGCGUAUGGGGCUUUGUCACCCGCUCGAUUUAGGGCCGGCCGGGCGCCAGCCGACGUCCAACCAUUUUUCUUCAGGUUGACCUCGGAUCAGGUAGGGAUACCCGCUGAACUUAAGCAUAUCAAUAAGCGGAGGAAAAGAAACCAACCGGGAUUGCCCCAGUAACGGCGAGUGAAGCGGCAAGAGCUCAAAUUUGAAAUCUGGCCCCUCCGGGGUCCGAGUUGUAAUUUGCAGAGGAUGCUUC